UACAGAGGUCUCAAGCGUUUGUUCGGAUUCAUUGGGCGUAAAGGGUGCGUAGGCGGCGCGGUAAGUCGGAUGUGAAAUCUCGGAGCUUAACUCCGAAACUGCAUUCGAUACUGCCGUGCUUGAGGACUGGAGAGGAGACUGGAAUUUACGGUGUAGCGGUGAAAAUGCGUAGAUAUCGUAAGGAAGACCAGUGGCGAAAGGCGGGUCUCUGGACAGUUCCUGACGCUGAAGCACGAAAGGCCCAGGGGGAGCAAAACGGGG
rnacentral:rRNA from 1 species